UUCCUAUUCAUAUGUAGGAUAGGAAUCAAUCCUUCACAUUUCAAAGGGAAAAAAACAUUAGCCUAGACUCAAUGGAAAAAAUCUUAUCCUAUGAAUCAAGUGACAUCUCUUUUCCUAUAGGAAGUGAGAUGCAUGCCACCUCACUUCCUAUGAUUUUCCUAUUCCUAUGAUAUUUCUACCCUAUGAACCAAAGGAGGCCUAAUAAUGCAAUUUCUGCGCGUCCAGGUUGGUUGGCCUCUCUAUUAUGAUGAGCCGGCCCAUUAUUGGCAAGCAACCUGUGAGCAAUGCCGAGAAGCCACAACCUCGGGUUCCUCAUACAAUGAGAGGCUCGGCAUGGGUGGCGGAUAGAAUUUAGUUGAAAAGAUGGUACAUAUGUAUAGGGCCACAUCUCUUAUAGAUUUCAGUAUAGAUGCUCUACACAUUGGUCUCACUCCGCACAUUGUAGUAUAUGACACUUGUUGCAGAUUACAGAUCCUCCUUCCAUGUCAUAUUAUAAUCUGAUUGCUCGCGCAGUGCAGUCAGAAAAUUCUUGGUUUGGGCAUGCAUUAAAUAAUUGUUAGUGUCAACCAUAUUGAAUUGGCGUUACUGUGUUCAUGAUACACUUCCACAAUACAUAAUUAUUUUAAUGUGAUGCUACACAUUCUGGGAGAAAAAUAAACGGCAAGGUCUUCCCCAAAAGUUAUUUCAUUCUAACGGUUUAAUCAAUUCGUUUAGGCGACACUAGGUGACCUUAAUACUUCUGGUUGGAGCGUCCUCGAAAGCAAAGCUGGCGAAGAGAGGCGGCGGUGCUUUGUGUGUUGAAUCCUUCAAACCAUCCCAUGCAUCGGCUGGAAAUUGAGUUAGAGGAGGAUGUGAAUAUCACCUUCUCUGUUAAAGGCCAAAGCUCGAUUUAUUUGUCAGGAUAUUACAUCCUUACGAAUCCCAAGACUUGCACUACUAAAAGAAAUUCAUUCAGAAAACGAAAGUAUGAUCAAGAGGUCUCGGACAGGUAUAUCAUCUUUUUCAACCUAAUACGGGGGGCAGUGUUGAUGGUGUUGCCAUGCAAAGUAAUACUCCCAAAAUAAUACCAGCUACCAUCAUGUAAAUAAUCAUAAUAGCCGCUAAGAAUCCUAAGGCAACAUGAGCAUGAUACCGAUAAAACAAUAUGAGCAUAUCAUGAACAUAGGAAUCUGUCGAUACUAACAUGCAACAUAAUAACACUACAUGCACCAAUUAUUCUGCUCGGGUUAUCUCGCAACCAUCACAUGCAGCACUUACCAACCUCGGACAUCACACGAUCAUCUCAGGAUCAACUCAAGCUUGGUAUAAAUAAUACCGUAGUAAUCAUUAAAUGACCACAAGGAGCUUGAUCUUUACCCAUGAUUCUCGCAUAACAUCACGAAUAUCCAACAACUCGGUAUCCUCGAUACCACGGUGAUCAUUCCGACGAUCACAACCAUGACCAACAAUUGGUCUUAAACAGUGAUCAUUCCGACGACCACAACCAUGACAACACUUGGUCUCAAACGGUGAUCAUUCCGGCGAUCACAACCAACUUAACUCCUCAUCGAACUGGGGUUGUCAUUAAUCAAGUUAUUAUUAAUACUGUUGACUCACGGUGGGACCGACACGAACUGGGCCCUUAUCCGCGGGUGCGGCUAUCGAUAGAUUUAAUAUACACUCUGCAGAGGUAGCACACUGUACCCACACCACGGAACCCAUGGCCUCGUACUCCUAUUCGGGUGGACCAACGGCGUUCCGACAAAACCGAUCUACUGUCGUGACACUCUCCCGGCCACUUCGACCCACUCCCAACUGGGCUAGUCCUGGGUGGCCCCGUGUCUACCAAAGACACCCCGACCACCGUCGUGGUCAAACGUCCCUCACUGGGACCGGAUCCAUAAAAAUAAAAACAACGGGCACACAAGGUUAUGUCCGCCUACCUGAUCAGGGUAAGCACGCCCAUAACCUUCCCUCGUGGGAGGCACCGGCGAGACGCACGACAAUAGACCCAGUUAGGACCUUACCCAUAUGGUAAGCGUGGUUGCACUGGUCAGUUUCGAUUUGGCGGCACCAUGGCUCAGCCAACAGUUGUUCAAGUUCAAUUAAAUCCGGUUAAACUUGAAUAUAAAAUGUUGAGCCAUGAUAAAAUAACAUGAUGCAAUUACAAUGCAUGAGCAUAAUAUCAACAUAAGCACGGGAUGCAACAUAACUGUCCAUCAUAUCAAUUAUGAAAUAAUCUCCAACUGAACAUGGCAUAAUGGCGACCAUAAAUAUUACAAGUGCAACACUACUCAUAGUAUAACAUAACAUGACCACUAGCAUCAACCAUAAAUAACAUGCAAGAACUUAUCAAUAACGUCACCGAGUAACACUUAACCAACUAACAGCAAAGGAACAACGCAUAUUAACAGUACUCGAUAACCAACGUUAAUCAUGCACCGAAGAGCAAGACCAACCCAACAUGUAGUACUAUCAAGCAUGGCAAUAUGAAAGUAAUACUAGCAACUAGCAGAGCAUGAUAACCAGGUGCAUAACAACAUAGCAAACAAGUAAGCACAAUCCCAAAAGCAACGAUAACCAUAUUUUAAACAAGCAAUCAUUUAAUAAAUAUUCAAGUUGAAAACCAUGGCUACUGCAUGACUAUCAUGCAAAUGGGUAUUGUGGCUUGCCUGGGGGUGUAGAAGGCACCGGGGAGAAGUGCGGUGAAGUCGCAGAAAGAUUUGCUAGAAACAGUUCUCUCUCAAAGGGGCUGUUUACGUGCAAGGGCAAAAAGGUCAUUUUCACAGUGUAAAACCAUAGUGAAAAUGAAACCAACAGAACGGGCUCGACGAGACAAAGAAGUGGGAUUUGGAUUCACCUCAUUUGGAGUUACGGUUGAAAAGUUAUGAGGAGUUGAAAAUCGGGGACCUAUCGGUGAAACUUUUUUAGCAAACAGGCCCCUGGUGGAUAAACAGAAAGCGCCUUCUCUGAAAAUACAUUUCCCAGAGAGGAAAACGCAUUCUUUCCCGAAGAAUAAAUGGAAUACAUCUUCGAUAAGGGAAAGCAUACUCACAGAAGUACGUUUCCACUUAUCCACGCUGGCAAGCGCGGGGCCGGGCCUUGAGCAGCUGACAUAGGGGGCUCACGCGCAGGGGGAGGGGGCCAGCUAGGCGUCGUCUUCCUCCUUGCUGCUCCCCCGAUGGGAAUCAUAGGAGCAGAGGCAGGGGAGAGGCCGGCGAUGGCCCGGGCAGCUCUGGCAGUCCCUGGCCAAGCCGUGGCCACCGACGGGCGCAGGAGGAAUGGACACACCCGUCCCCAAGGUCAACCGGCACUGAGGAGGGGCGGGACAAGCGCAAGGAGAGGGGAACAGAGGCGGCUCCGGCGGCGGUUGAACUUGAAGACGGCGCCUUCUGCUAUUGCGGCGAG
rnacentral:lncRNA from 1 species